rnacentral:rRNA from 1 species
UGGUGGAGUGAUUUGUCUGGUUAAUUCCGUUAACGAACGAGACCUCCGCCUGCUAAAUAGUAGAGCCGGGGCUCUAACAAGUGAACCAGGUGGCGGCGGUGUGGCUCUCGGGCUGCGCCUCGACGCUUGGGGAUCUAGGAGUCGCCCGGUAUCGCUUCUUAGAGGGACUGCCCACGGUAAGUGGGAGGAAGUUGGAGGCAAUAACA